AACACCGUUGGGUAGGCAAGCGAAACGCACCUCCGCCAUCUUGUCCAGCAAGGACGCCGCAAAAAUAAUCAUUUUUCCGGGUGAUUUUCCCCGUUUUUCUUGCUUAAAACCCGCUGGAAAUCCUUUAGAAAUUAAUCGAGAAGGUCCAGGGUGUUUCAGGGGACAGUGCAGUGCCGUAUUUUAAACCGAACUUUAAUUAAGAAAUUUUUCUUUGUGUACGUGACCGCAGCGGUUUGUUGUGGUGCCAGUGGUGCACCUAAAAGGGGCCGAUUUUUAGGCGAAUCAUGAGUAGGAGACAUGAUUCGGAGAACGAGGACGACCCGGAGCCCUUUCAGAGCUCUGGCGAGGAGUGGGACGUCGAGGAAGAAAAAAAGACAGCAAGACGAAAGUCUGGACGAGUGACGCGUAAACCAAAGAGGGCGAAGAUGGACGAGAGCGGUAGCGAGGAGGCGGACGAGGACGAGGAAGACGAAGGACGAUUCUUUGAGGAGGAGCAGGCGAAAAAGAAGAAGAAGCCCGGGCCGAAAAAGGGGGCGAGGCCCACCCCGAAGAAGCAGCAAAAAGUUCUUAACGAGAGCGACCUCUCGAACGACGGGAACUCGAACGUGUCCCAGGAGGAGCGCAAGGGGGUUUCCGGGAACGAGUCGGACUCCUCUAAAACCGGCGGGAACAACGUGAACGUUCAGGCGAGGGGCGUUCACCGGAAGUUCAUUCCGAAGACGAUUUACUCGGAAGAUUACGCUACGGGGUCGUUUGUUAUUGCGAAAAAAGACGCGCAGGGUGGGGAUCCCGCCAAACAUCCGGUCAUAUGGCGGAUCGACGGCAAAGCCCUGCUGCAAAAGUACGAGGCGUUCGACGAGGAUGAGAAAGUGAGACACAAAAACACCUCGAUCUACACCGGGUGGUCGCCUUUAGACAAGGAUCUCUACGCCCCGAUCACCGUUGACGUCAUCAGGCACAACAACAACAAUUUGACGGUCGAGGUCCAGUGGGACAAGCUCAAGGUCAUCAAUGACAAUGACAGCGAUUAAGACUUGCGCAAUAGUGUUUUUUUUUUCUUUUUAGUUUAAGGUCCAAUCAUAGAUGUCUUUAUUUUUCUUCUUUUUUUUUUCGUCAUACGAGUGUUUAUAUUAUGAUUGUUUUUUUUUGAGUGGGGAGAAAACAAUAAAUGUUACUUUUAUGGGCUAAA
rnacentral:misc_RNA from 1 species